UUAUCUUUUGCCUUAUCUCUUUUUUUCUGCACACCAUAGGUUGUAAUUCCUUUUGGCGGGAUUUGUGUGUGUGUGUGUGUGUGCGUGUGUCUUCUGGGGUCUUUGCGGAUACCAGCCUUUCAGUGUUAGCGCUUUGCACGUCCUCAUUCGCAAACCAGGCAGCGUGGUGGGGAGGAAGCUGUAGCAGAAGUAAAACUUCGUAUACUCAGCCCAAUAUACUCGUUCCUAGCACUCCGAUCUACCUCCAGCACGCUCCUUGGAAAUGACUCCUACAACGCGCGUUGAGCGGAAAAGCGGAGGAAGAGGCGUUUCGGCUAAAGACGACGGAAGACCUCACCUCCUUACGCCUUCUCUUCCCCGAAAGCCCCUGUCGCCGUCUCCACACCGUCCGCAACCCUUUUCCUCGCACCUGGGUGGCUUUGGAAGAGGACGGGCUCCGUCAGCACUGCUUGAUGAAUGA
rnacentral:lncRNA from 1 species